GUGCUUGCUUCNGCAGCACAUACACUAAAAUUGGAAUGAUACAGAGAAGAUUAGCAUGGCCCCUGUGCAAUAGAAACACAAUGACACCUGACAUAGUAUU
rnacentral:snRNA from 1 species